AUUAGCACUAUAUUCCUGCAUCCAAGCCUGGGAGGGAGAUGUUACAAGCGGUAGUUCUGUGCUGAGUUCUCGCAGAUGCACAGACUCUGGGAUGCGAGUGCAUGACUUAAACUGCAAAACUGUUACAGGGAGACAGUUAUUAGAUUCCCGCCGCGAGAUUGGGAAUGCAUGCAGGAUAAGUCUUGCCAUGGAGCUGCUGUGGAAUUGCAGCUACGUGAAGACUGCAUGGUUGCACAGGCGCGGCCAUUUUGCCCCGGCCGCAUGGCCGGGGAAAGCUCGUCUCUUCCGGUCCCGCGGCCAUUUUCUUGUGCCCCUAAUGAGGACCAGUAUCAUUCAAGAAAUGGGACUGCAAAGCACUCCAGAAAAAACUCAACAGACCCAACCAUAGAACAAAUCUCCAAUAGAGAGUGGACUACACAGCAAAGGAUCAUCCCUAAACCUUCAACUUUGAAGUAAGAGACACUAUAACACAAAAUGACUUGCUGCUAUUGCUUCAAAGUAUUAACCAACUUUGACCAAUCCUGGACAUAACUACAGGAAAACUGCAGAUUAACAUCUAUUCCUGCCCAUUUUCCAUUGAAAACUGACUGAACUGUUGUUAACAUAUUUGCUAAGAUUGUUUCUAAAGGUAAAGAACAACUACAAGAGAUGAAUGAACAAAAACAUGGGCAUUAUCUGCAUUCCAAAAACCAGAGAUAACAUAGACUGAUUUCUCACCGGGGACGCUGGAUUUCAAGCUGAGUGAGCAGAUUGUAAUGAACCCAUCUAUUCUAAGCACAAACUGUGAUCAGAAAUUGAAAAUUUACUUUCAAUAACUAUGCUUUACUGCCAUUCACAGAUCACUCAUAUAACUAAAUUUAAUCCUAUGAAAAAUAUACGUAUCACCACACUCACCCACAGGACCAACAACAGUAGAAAGAGCACACCAAACAUUAAGAAAAAUAUUAUAAAAACAACAAAAAGGGGGGAAGGGAUACGGGUCUUUUCUCUAUAUGUAUGUAAACCUACACUAACUCUUCUUCAAAACAGGAACAAUCACAAAGAAACAAUAAUUGAUGAAACUAAAGCAGAAGAAACACACAAUCAAUAACCACUAUUAAUUAUAACUUAUAGUUAAAAAACAGAAUAAACAUGCGGAACAUGUGAGAAUGAAAUGUGUGAAUAGUGGCCACUGAAUGAAUGGAAAAGUGUGUGUGUGUAUGAAAAUUCAAAAACAUUCAGUAUCAAUUAUAUCUCUAUUACAGGCACAAUUAUACAACAAUAUCACCUCAACUACAUAAAUUAUCCUCAAAUAGCAGUAAGUACAAUACUCACUGCCUCAGAUAAAAAAAUCUUACAUAUUUAUAAACCCUGAAUAAUUGAAGGUUACACAAUUAAUAAAGUUAUUAAUAUUACAUGGUUAAUAAAGUUACAGAGCUAAUAAAGUUAUUACCAGUUUUAAUAAAGGCCUUACCACAUCAGGCCCUUAUAAAUAGUUAAGAUAAGCUUGCUUAUGUUAAAAAAUGCUUAAGAAAAAAGUUUAAAAAAUUGUUCUGUAACUCGUUAUAAUGAUAAUAAGGAAAGGGAAAAUGUAGUGAUUCAUAUUAGAGGAAGAAUGCUGCAAAGCAUUCUGGGACUUGUUCUUUAAGAUUCUAUCACACGUGCGCAUUGAGGUGCUCUAAUGUCAUUGGUUGAAAGGUCACGUGUUACAGUUUGAGCUCUGUAUUUAAACUGCUGUUCUUGGUAAUAAAGCUAAUUCACUUAUUGCA